rnacentral:rRNA from 1 species
AUUGAACGCUGGCGGCAGGCCUAACACAUGCAAGUCGAACGAGUGGCGGACGGGUGAGUAAUGUCUGGGAAACUGCCCUAUGGAGGGGGAUAACUACUGGAAACGGUAGCUAAUACCGCAUACCAUCGGAUGAGCCCAGAUGGGAUUAGCUAGUGGGUGGGGUAAAGGCUCACCAAGGCGACGAUCCCUAGCUGGUCUGAGAGGAUGACCAGCCACACUGGAACUGAGACACGGUCCAGACUCCUACGGGAGGCAGCAGUGGGGAAUAUUGCACAAUGGGCGCAAGCCUGAUGCAGCCAUGCCGCGUGUAUGAAGAAGGCCUUCGGGUUGUAAAGUACUUUCAGCGGCGAGGCGUUAACCGCAGAAGAAGCACCGGCUAACUCCGUGCCAGCAGCCGCGGUAAUUC